rnacentral:rRNA from 3 species
CAAACGACUCUCGGCAACGGAUAUCUCGGCUCACGCAUCGAUGAAGAACGUAGCAAAAUGCGAUACUUGGUGUGAAUUGCAGAAUCCCGUGAACCAUCGAGUUUUUGAACGCAAGUUGCGCCCGAAGCCUUUUGGCCGAGGGCACGUCUGCCUGGGCGUCACG